AGGUCUGAUUUGGCUGAUCUGGCUAACUAGGUGGGAUUCCCUCCUCCCUCAAGACUCUCUGGGCAUCUCUUCUAAGGCUGCUUAGUCAGUUGAAGAAGGUGUCCUUCCCUGGUAAAGACAGACCAGUCCUUGGCCAAGGGUGGAUAAGGGCCGUGCUCCCUACAAGAAUACCCAAACAAACUCUCUUAAGUUUCUAAUUUAUGUAUUUUUUAAGAAUGUAAAUCAGUUCAUGGAUAUCACCCAUCAUGUCUCCUUCUGUGGUACUGAGGAUCUGAU
ensembl:misc_RNA 7SK 7SK RNA